CCUACGGGUGGCAGCAGUGAGGAAUAUUGGUCAAUGGACGAGAGUCUGAACCAGCCAAGUAGCGUGAAGGAUGACUGCCCUAUGGGUUGUAAACUUCUUUUAUAAAGGAAUAAAACGAGGCACGUGUGCCUUUUUGCAUGUACUUUAUGAAUAAGGAUCGGCUAACUCCGUGCCAGCGGCCGCGGUAAUACGGAGGAUCCGAGCGUUAUCCGGAUUUAUUGGGUUUAAAGGGAGCGUAGAUGGGUUGUUAAGUCAGUUGUGAAAGUUUGCGGCUCAACCGUAAAAUUGCAAUUGAUACUGGCAGUCGUGAGUACAGUUGAGGUAGGCGGAAUUCGUGGUGGAGCGGUGAAAUGCUUAGAUAUCACGAAGAACCCCGAUUGCGAAGGCAGCUUACUAAACUGUGACUGACAUUGAUGCUCGAAAGUGUGGGUAUCAAACAGGAUUAGAUACCCUUGUAGUC
rnacentral:rRNA from 1 species